UACAGAGGGUGCAAGCGUUAAUCGGAAUUAUUGGGCGUAAAGAGCUCGUAGGCGGUCUGUCACGUCGGCUGUGAAAACCCGAGGCUCAACCUCGGGCCUGCAGUCGAUACGGGCAAACUAGAGUACUGCAGGGGAGACUGGAAUUCCUGGUGUAGCGGUGAAAUGCGCAGAUAUCAGGAGGAACACCGGUGGCGAAGGCGGCAUCCUGGACCGGUAUUGACGCUGAGGAGCGAAAGCCAGGGGAGCAAACGGG
rnacentral:rRNA from 1 species